rnacentral:tRNA from 1 species
ACCGCAGUAGCCAAGAGGUAAGGCAAGGGACUUUCAAGGUAUUCAAGUGAAUUUAAUUGGGGCAGUACCAAUUACCUUGACCAGACUCCCUGAUGCGUGUGUUCAACCCACACCUGCGGCG